rnacentral:rRNA from 1 species
GAGCCCCCGUACAGUUGGACACCAAGCCUUUGUAAAAGCUCCUUCGACGAGUCGAGUAGUUUGGGAAUGCUGCUCAAAAUGGGAGGUAUAUUUCUUCUAAAGCUAAAUACCGGCCAGAGACCGAUAGCGCACAAGUAGAGUGAUCGAAAGAUGAAAAGCACUUUGAAAAGAGGGUUAAACAGCACGUGAAAUUGUUAAAAGGGAAGCGCUUGUGACCAGACUUGCGUCCGGUGAAUCACCCAGCUCUCGCGGCUGGGGCACUUCGCCGGCUCAGGCCAGCAUCAGCUCGCUGUCGGGGACAAAAGCUUCAGGAACGUAGCUCUCUUCGGGGAGUGUUAUAGCCUGUUGCACAAUACCCUUCGGCGGGCUGAGGUACGCGCUCCGCAAGGAUGCUGGCAUAAUGGUCAUCAGCGACCCGUCUUGAAACACGGACCAAGGAGUCAACCUUAUGUGCGAGUGUUCGGGUGUCAAACCCCUACGCGUAAUGAAAGUGAACGCAGGUGAGAGCUUCGGCGCAUCAUCGACCGAUCCUGAUGUUCUCGGAUGGAUUUGAGUAAGAGCAUAUAGGGUUGGACCCGAAAGAAGGUGAACUAUGCGUGUAUAGGGUGAAGCCAGAGGAAACUCUGGUGGAGGCUCGCAGCGGUUCUGACGUGCAAAUCGAUCGUCAAAUAUGCGCAUGGGGGCGAAAGACUAAUCGAACGUCAAGG